GCGUGAGUGAUGAAGGCCUUAGGGUUGUAAAGCUCUUUCGUCAGGGAAGAUAAUGACGGUACCUGAAGAAGAAGCCCCGGCUAACUUCGUGCCAGCAGCCGCGGUAAUACGAAGGGGGCUAGCGUUGUUCGGAAUUACUGGGCGUAAAGCGCACGUAGGCGGACAUUUAAGUCAGGGGUGAAAUCCCAGGGCUCAACCCUGGAACUGCCUUUGAUACUGGGUGUCUUGAGUACGAGAGAGGUGAGUGGAAUUCCGAGUGUAGAGGUGAAAUUCGU
rnacentral:rRNA from 1 species